UGAUGGCUUCAUUCUCAAGAAAGCUCCUCCAGUGGCAUGGCCAGAUGGUUUCUAGCACCUCCAGAUGUGCACCAGACCAAUUGUUGGCAAUUCCUUUUUUCCCCAAGAGUUCCAGCAAAAUACCUUGGAUCGGAUCUCAUUGGAUCCAGCAAGCUGACGAGCCACUCCAGGCCUGGCACACGUGCCCACCACCGAGCCAGAGAGAGAGAGAGCGAGCCAGAGAGCACAAGCUGGGGUGGGGAAUGGCAGAAGGAGAAGAAGCAGCAGAUGUGGACUCGAUCCCAGGACCCUGGAAUCAUGACCUGAGCCAAAGGCAGAUGCUUAACUGAUUGAGCCAUCCAGACACCCCUAUCCUUUGUAUUUUACCUAAAAUGUCUUAUCCUCAGAGGAUAAGACACCUUUUCUGACCACCUUACCUAAAGAAGACACCUUCUGUUCCUUUGCUAGCAAGAACUGCUUAUCACCCCAUCCUGUUUAUUUCCUUUAUGGUAUUUGUCACAGUCUGUAAUCAUCUUAUUUAUUCAUUGCUAGUUUUCUAACUCCCUAAUUAAAAAAUAAGCUCUAGGAGGCCAGCCACUAAGUUUCUCAUGUUCUUUCUGCAUGCUUCUGGCCUGGCUAGCCAGUAACUAACUGACACAUAGUAGGCCCUCAACAUUUAUUUGUUG
rnacentral:lncRNA from 1 species